AUGUAAUCAACCUGAAUUUAAUAACUUGGAGGUUUCCAAAGGAAGAAUAGAAUUAAUUUUCGUGGCAUACUUUCUUCAAAAGCUAUACUGUACCUGAGCCCUGAUAUUAUAGCCUGAAUGUACCCUCUAGGCUGGUCAAGUAAGGGGUAUAGUGUCACAUUUUGACCAUCAGUUUGGUACACCCACAUGAACUAAAAGAGAUUCUGGUGUUUUCUUCCAGGGUGAACAGAGUGAGAAAGGCUUCCACUAUGAUCUCUGGUUGUGUCUACAUCUUAGAGUUCCAGGGUCCUUGGCUGCCUGCCUUUUCAGCAGAGGCUGUGGGUGAAUGCCUCCCCCUUGUGCUAUCCAGUGUGGAGAAUGUGUUCCAGCAUGUGUUCCCUGUGUCCGUGGAAAGAAGAAUUACAGGUACUGGAAGCUCUUCUCAUCUUCCAUCAUUCACCCUGCUCAGGCUUGAAAAACUGGAGCCCUCACAAGCUGCCUUUGUUUUGCCCUAUGUCCAAUGCCAGAGCUGUGUUGUAACUAAUGGGAGGGGGGUACUAUGACAAGGGCACAGGGAUGUGGCUGCUCUAUUCCCUUGUGGCAUCUGUCCAGCUUCUUUUAUGCCUUGAGCUCUCAGCCACCACCAACACUCAGCCCUACCACAGUUUGCCUGUGUUGGUUUUGGGGGUAGGUCUCUUUCAACUGGAAGCUUGCUUGUGCUCUGAGUUCUAAGUGUUUGUACAUCCAUGACAGGCUUGACAGCUGUACUGGUUACUGUGGUGGGUGGAGUCAAGUAGACAGCUCCCAAGUCUCUGGGGUGAAGUGACUACUGUCCCUGGGGUCCACGUGAGGAGGCAGGUCUUCUCCCUUGUGGAUGUUGUGCCCAAUGUCCCUUAUGCCCUUAGGUCUUAGCCACCACAAUCCCUCUGUCCUCCUAGCACAGGGUCCAACUGGAAGUGUUUUAGAGGUAGGCCUCCUUCAACUGAAAGCUUGCUGGGGUCCAAGUCACAAAUGUUUGCACACUCAUCACAGGCUUGGUAACUUUACUGGUCACUGGGGUGGGAGAGGUUGACUAGAUAGCUCCAAGUUGUCUGAUCAGGCCCCAGUAAGAAUGUCUUGGUUAGUGAGUAAAGUGGUGGGUCUCAGGGCAUAAUCCUCACAUCCAUGAUUUUGUUUCUGAGGAUCCUGCCCUAUGGUCUUGAUUGGCAUUGGCUUCUAUGUAAGUGCUUGUGUGUGUGCCUGUGAGUGAGUGAGUGUGUGUGUGUGUGUGUGUGUGUGUGCAUGUGUGUAUUUAUGCAUAUGAGCCUGUGUUUUCACAUGUACAUAUGUAUCUAGGAUAAUCUCUCUCUCUCUCUCUCUCUCUCUCUCUGUGUGUGUGUGUGUGUGUGUGUGUGUGUGUGUGUGCACGCAUGCACAUGCAUGCGCACGCACGAGCGCACAUGCGCACAUGUGCGUGUGAGAGUUAUGCAGAAAACUAGGCCUUAGAGAGAUAAGACUGAAGAUGAAAGAGGGAUGGAGUUGACACUGAGAAGGAUAGGUUGUUUUGUUGGGUAAGCCAUGUGGGGAUAACACCACAGAAGGAACCAGAGUGGGCACAAGGUCUGGACUUUAACCUGGGUAUCUGAUAUGUAUGUGGUGUAGCCAAUCACAAAUUGCAUGGCAGCACUAUGAAGGGUAACAAGACCUGUGAUUGGCAGUUGUUGGCAUGGAACCUCUGUGAACUCAGAGCCAGUGCACCCCAGGGGGCUCCAUUUCCAGCAUCAGAGAGGCUACCUUCAGGACUGUUGGCUGAGAGGAAAGUUACAAAGCAAUGAGACACCCAGUGUCUAGAGGUCUGGUUUUCGGGAUUUCAGUGGGACCUCCAGAAAUGUUGUGCAGUAUUCACCAGACAAGAAUGCUUGGGAAUGGGCUUAAGUGAGCAGAAUGUCUAUCAGUCAGCUGGCAAGUACACUGCAUGAUCCCAGUGUAGCCUGGAGCCUUUCUUGGUGAGCAUUUAAGCACAAAAUUAGUGUUCUGGGUUGACACACUUCAGUUAACAAGAUCAGUUAGCCAGAAGUAGAACUAUAGAAGCCAAAAGGAAAGGAAUGUCUCUAAAUGCACUAACCUUGCCUUAUGUCUCCUCUUGAACCAACAACCCCUAUAACUGGAAAACUCAAAACCCACCAUUCUACGAAAAAAGUAGAAAAACUGCCCCUGGGCAGGGCAGGGGAUAACUGCAAUGCAGUGCAGCCUGGAUAGAAGAGAUUUUCCCUUGUGUCCAACACUGACCAAGGAGACUUUAAACAAUUUUUGCUAGGUCUUUUUUAUUUAAAAAAUUAUUUUUCAUUUUACAUAUACCUUGUUCAGCCUUGAUACAGGGGGAGGGGCUUGGUCCUGCCUCAACUUGGUAUGCUGUCCUUUUUUAAAGGAUUAAAAACAGCUGCUAAAAGGAUUUCCUUUGUCACCCAGUUGGCUCCAGAUAUCAGGGGGAAAAGUUAUAAAAGUUAGAGGGAUAGGUUGGUCCCAUGUGCUGGAGGAAACUCAAAGGGUGUUUCACAAAGAGAACUGAUUGGGACAAAACCUUUUGCAUAAACUGAAAGCCACCUCACCUUUUCUGAUGAUGAGACAUGGUUAGUUUUUCUUCCUAUUAGAAGAAUAUCUGCUACCUGAGAGUCCUGCCCCCAAUCAAAAGAUGCAGUUGGACUAUCUCUCAGAUGGACAGCAAAAAUUAGCAGGGGGUAUAGGCAGAAACCAACCUCCCAGGACUGACCCCAAACCAAGUUCCUAUGAUUGUUCAAUUAACCAGUUUGGCUACUCUGUCCAGAUUAAGCAAUACCCAAUGACUCAGGAAAUGAAAGGGGAAAACAGUCCAUAUUUCCUGGCUUGGAUAGACAGGCAUCUUGGUUCUCAGAGAGUCGCCCUGUGAAGAAGCUUAGGACAUCUGAUUCUCGUGAGUCUGAUUCCUCCAGAGAAGCAGGUGUACACUGUCUGGGACCUGAAGGAUGCAUUCUUCAGCCUCCCAUUGGUAGAGGUGGGUCAACCUAUCUUUGCUUUGAAAUGGACAGACCCAGAAGGAGGUUAUAAUGGGCAACUUAAAUGGACCAGAUUGCCCCCAAAGAAUUAAAAAUUCACCAUCCCUGUUUGAUGAGACAGUAAGUGUUGAUCCCUUUCCCUUCUGUCAGAGGCUUCCACUGAGGGACUGUUGACAGAGUUACAGACUGUGGGCUACAAAGUGUCAGCUAAGAAAGCCCAUCUUUGUACAUCAGAGGCCACCUAUCUUAGCUGCCAGCUGAGAGACAAAAGGAGCCUCAGAAUAGGAUCACUGCCAUCCUUCAGAUGCUAACUCCAAAGACUAAGGGACAGGUUCAAGAGUUCCUAGGUGCAGCUAUAUAUGCUGCCUCUGGAUACUAGGGUUUGUGGAAAUAGCAAGGUCUCUAUACAUUAGCACAAUGGGGGCACUGAGCCCCUAAUCUGGACUGAGACUAAACAAAAGGCAUUUGAGGAUUUAAAAGCAGGCCUGACUUCAGCUUCAGCCCUAGUACUUCCAGAUGUCCCCCAAAACCUUUUCAUCUAUUUGUUUCAUGAGACAAAAGACUUUUAAGCCAAACUUUCGAGGCAUGGAAAUGCUCUAUGAUAUAUCUGUCCAAACAAUUGGACCCUGUAGUCACAGGACUGCUCACCUGUCUAAGAACUGUAUCAGAUACUGCUAGUCUAAUGAAAACAAACAAGUUAACUUUGAGUUAAGAUCUUAUGUACAUAGCACCCCACGAUGUGUUUGAGGCCCUCCUUCGAGGAACACCAGACUGUUUACUGUCUAAGGACUAUAUAAGCCAGUGCCAGAGCCUACUCCUGGCCCACCCUAGAGUCCAGCUUAAGAAACCCACCCCCAUCAAUCCUGCUACCUUCUUGUAUAAUGGCGACCCAUAAGUGCUCAUCUAUAACUGUCACAAAAUGAAAGAUGAACCAGUUAGGUAGGAACUGCAGUAAUAACUUUAACUGAAAUAAUUUGGACCCAAGCCAGGUACCUCAGGCCAGGACUGAUUGAUCUGAUACAGGGUCUCAGAUGAGGAAAGCAAAAUCAUACACAAAGAUAGUUGUUACGUUUAUACUACUGUGCAUGUCCACGGUAUGAUCUACAGAGAAAGAGGGAUUCUUACCAAUGAGGUAAGGACAUUAAAAACAAAG
ensembl:lincRNA